rnacentral:rRNA from 1 species
UACGUAGGGGGCUAGCGUUGUCCGGAUUUAUUGGGCGUAAAGAGCUCGUAGGCGGUUCGGCAAGUCAGCUGUGAAAUCUCCACGCUCAACGUGGAGGGGUCAGCUGAUACUGCUGUGACUUGAGUCCGGUAGGGGAGUGUGGAAUUCCCGGUGUAGCGGUGAAAUGCGCAGAUAUCGGGAGGAACACCAGUAGCGAAGGCGGCACUCUGGGCCGGUACUGACGCUGAGGAGCGAAAGCGUGGGGAGCAAACAGG